rnacentral:rRNA from 1 species
UUGAUCCUGGCUCAGAAUCAACGCUGGCGGCGUGCCUCAGACAUGCAAGUCGAACGCGAAAGUUCCCUUCGGGGAGCGAGUAGAGUGGCGUCCGGGUGAUUAACACGUAGGUAAUCUACCUUUGGGUGGGGAAUAACAAUCGGAAACGGUUGCUAAUACCGCAUAAUGCAGCGGCACCGCAUGGUGACAGUUGUUAAAGUGGGGGAUCGCAAGACCUCGCGCCUAAAGAGGAGCCUGUGGCGGAUUAGCUAGUUGGCAGGGUAACGGCCUACCAAGGCGACGAUCCGUAGCCGGCCUGAUAGGGCGGUCGGCCACACUGACACUGAAAUACGGGUCAGACUCCUACGGGUGGCAGCAGUCGGGAAUUUUGGGCAAUGGGCGCAAGCCUGACCCAGCAACUCCGCGUGAAGGAUGAAAUCCCUCGGGAUGUAAACUUCGCAAGAACAGGAUGAAUAAGCUCGUGUUAACAGCACGAGUGAUGACGGUACUGUUUGUAAGCUCCGGCUAACUCCGUGCCAGCAGCCGCGGUAAUAAGGGCGU